GAUGAACGCUAGCGGCAGGCCUAAUACAUGCAAGUCGAACGAGAUUAAGAGGCUUGCUUCUUAUGAAAGUGGCGCACGGGUGCGUAACGCGUAUGCAACCUACCUUAAUCAGGGGGAUAGCCCGAAGAAAUUCGGAUUAAGACCGCAUAAAAACACAGGAUAGCAUUAUCCAAUGUUCAAAUAUUUAUAGGAUUAAGAUGGGCAUGCGUGUCAUUAGCUAGUUGGCGGGGUAACGGCCCACCAAGGCGACGAUGACUAGGGGAUCUGAGAGGAUGACCCCCCACACUGGUACUGAGACACGGACCAGACUCAUACGGGAGGCAGCAGUAAGGAAUAUUGAUCAAUGGAGGGAACUCUGAACCAGCCAUGCCGCGUGCAGGAAGACAGCCCUCGGGGUCGUAAACUGCUUUUAUUCGGGAAUGAACCUUUCUACGUGUAGGAAGCUGAAUGUACCGAAGGAAUAAGGAUCGGCUAACUCCGUG
rnacentral:rRNA from 1 species